AACGAACGCUGGCGGCAGGCCUAACACAUGCAAGUCGAACGCCCUAGCAAUAGGGAGUGGCAGACGGGUGAGUAACACGUGGGAACCUUCCCUAUAGUACGGAAUAGCCCAGGGAAACUUGGAGUAAUACCGUAUACGCCCGAGAGGGGAAAGAUUUAUCGCUAUAGGAUGGGCCCGCGUAGGAUUAGCUAGUUGGUGAGGUAAUGGCUCACCAAGGCAACGAUCCUUAGCUGGUUUGAGAGAAUGACCAGCCACACUGGGACUGAGACACGGCCCAGACUCCUACGGGAGGCAGCAGUGGGGAAUCUUGGACAAUGGGCGCAAGCCUGAUCCAGCCAUGCCGCGUGAGUGAUGAAGGCCUUAGGGUUGUAAAGCUCUCUUGUCGGGGACGAUAAUGACGGUACCCGGAGAAUAAGUCCCGGCUAACUUCGUGCCAGCCGCCGCUGUAACAC
rnacentral:rRNA from 1 species